rnacentral:rRNA from 2 species
GGACUACCAGGGUAUCUAAUCCCGUUUGCUCCCCUGGCUUUCGCGCCUCAGCGUCAGAAGAGGUCCAGCGCGCCGCUUUCGCCACCGGUGUUCCUUCCGAUAUCUACGCAUUUCACCGCUCCACCGGAAGUUCCGCACGCCCCUACCUCCCUCGAGACUCGCAGUAUCAAAGGCACUUCCACGGUUGAGCCGUGGGCUUUCACCCCUGACUGGCGAGCCCGCCUACGCGCCCUUUAAGCCCAGUGAUUCCGAAUAACGUUCGCACGGUUCGUCUUACCGCGGCGGCUGGCAC